UUUGAACAUAUUUGGUAGAACAAGAUAUAUUUUUCGUCGAGCUUUUGGCAUGUUGGCUGAUUUGCAGAUUUGAUAAUAAUUCCAUAUUUGCGUUGUCUGAGAUUUGCCUACUGUUCUGUUUCUACCAUCUUUGUGAUUGUUGGUCAGCUCAAUUUUAUUAUUUAAUUUUGGCUAGACUUUUUUUAACACCCUUUUAGCCCCUAUAGCAGGGAACGAAAUAAUCAGUAUUUAAAUUAAAUAUCUACUUUGUAUACCGUCUUUUGCUUGGAUAUUAUUCAGAAGCUCGAGCCCUACGCAGGCUCAUGCUUCCGCGUAGGGCUUUUUUGACUACAGAAUUUUGAAGACUUGGGCAAUUCUAUUUGAAAGUAGAGGAUACGAUUCAUCCUGGCUCUUGCAAAGCACCUCUUUUUCCUUUUCUUUUAAUGCUUACAUUGCUUGGUGGAUAAUCUUCAGCAAAGAUGUUUAUCUUUUGACUAUGAAAAAGAAAUAUGGGUCUAUGACAUCAUUGGUGGCGUUAUUUGUUUGUCUAGCUCAAUCGGCGACUAAAUUAGUUAUAUUUACUUGGAUGGUGCUACCUUUUAAAUACAUCAGGUGCCUGGGUUCGCAGAAAUUUCGAAAAGAUUUUCAGCUAAAUAUUUGCUACAAAUUGUUUCAACUUGCUUCAGUCCAGGUUGGCUUUUUAGCUUUAAUAUUUCCUAGAAAAAAUAAAAAGAAGAAAGCAGUUGAUUGGGACUUUUGUCUAUUGCCUGGUGGCCAAGCAAGGGUUGGUGAAACUGGCGCACAUUUGUCUCAUAUGGACUGGGUUUUAUUCCAUCUUUUUCUGAUACGAGACUUUGCACAUAAAUAUUAGGUUUUCAGCAGUCAAAUAUCUCCAUACGGGCAAGGUAGAGAGAAUUUGCAAGCAAUUAGCACACCUUCUCUAAUGAAUCCAACAGCAAUCCAAUAUAUCUCAGAAUGCUUCAUCAAGCCCCAACACGUAGUUGAAGAAGCAGAGCAACCUUACUAUUUGUCCCCAUGGGAUCUCGCUAUGGUCUCUGUUCACUACAUCCAAAAAGGUCUUCUCUUUCCCAAGCCACCACGAGAAGACUUCAAUAUCUUACAUCUGCUGGAGAAGCUCAAGCACUCCUUAGCUCUCACUCUUGUCCAUUUCUAUCCACUAGCCGGUCGCCUUGCAACUUCUAAGAGUCAAGACCCUCCUUCAUAUGUAAUCUAUGUGGAUUGCAGAAAUAGCCCAGGAGCUAGAUUUGUCCAUGCUACUGUUGACAUGACAGUUUCUGAUAUUCUUUCACCUACUUAUGUUCCAUCAGUAGUUCAAUCCUUCUUUGACCAUCAUCGAGCUCUUAACCACGAUGGUCAUGUUCGGUCUUUGCUAACUAUUCAAGUUACAGAACUGGUCGAUGGAAUCUUUAUUGGGUGUUCUUUUAACCAUGCUAUCGGUGAUGGGACCUCUUAUUGGCAUUUCUUGAAUACAUGGUCUGAGAUUUUCCAAGCGGAGGGAGAUGAUGGCGCAGCAAUCUCACGGCCACCAGUAUUAAAACCCUGGUUUCCUGAUGGUUAUGGUCCUGUAAUCAAUCUUCCUUUUACUCACCAUGAGCAAUUCUUAUGCCCAUUUGAGUCACCUGUACUUAAAGAAAGGAUUUUUCAUUUUUCAGCAGAAUCUAUUGCUAAACUGAAAGAAAAAGCAAAUGCAGAGUACAAUACUAACAAGAUUUCUUCCUUUCAGUCGUUGUCUGCAUUUAUGUGGAGGUGCAUAACCCGAUCCCGCCAUUUACCACAUGAUCAAAUCACUAAUUGCAGAUUAGCCUGCAAUAACAGAUCAAGAUUCAAUCCACCUUUAUCGCCUAACUACUUCGGGAACUGUAUUGAUGCAAUCGCAGCUUCUAGCACAGCGGGGGAACUGCUACAGCAGAAUCUUGGAUGGGCAGCAUGGAUGCUGCAUCAGUCUGUGGUUAAUCAGACAAGUGAAAAGAUUCAGGAGCGAAUUGAAGCGUGGAAGAAAUCACCUUUUAUUUAUCACAUUGGUCGUUCUUUUGAUCCCUUCAGUGUGAUGAUGGGAAGCUCUCCUAGAUUCAAUAAGUAUGGCUGCCAAUUUGGAUUGGGGAAAGCUUUGACACUUCGCAGUGGGUAUGCACAUAAAUUUAGUGGGAAAGUGUCAGCUUAUCCAGGACGUGAAGGUGGUGGAAGUGUGGAUUUGGAGGUUUGUCUUCCUCCAGAUUCAAUGGCUGCUCUUGAAUCUGACAAGGAAUUCUUUGCUGUUGUCUCUCUGCAACGCUAGAAGUCCAUGGGGCUAAUAUUCUAAUAUUUCAAUAAUUGGAUUCCAAAAUAGGGAAGACUUACCUACUCCUGUCCAGCAUAUGGGUUCACCCAUACAAUAAAUCCAGCAUUAUUUGUAAUCACUAUUUGAUUUUUUUUUUAUAUAUAUUUAAAAUUUAGAGAUUAAAUUAUGCAUUUGUCCUGUUCUCAUAUCUACACAUCAGAUCAUGCAAGUCAGCGACUUGUGUCAAAGACCAGGUUAAUUGUCUAUUGGGCUUGGGCCCAUAAAUACUACUGUUAAUUUUACUAGUCCAGUCCGAUUCCUUCUCGCCGUCUUAGAUCAUGUCAUUUUGUUUCCUUUUUAUGAACCAAGGUCAUGUGUCCUUGGGCCGCGGCCCAUACGUUGGGUCCAUACUUUCCAGUCUAUAAUAAAAUACGAAAAUUCUUAGACUUCGGACAUUACUUGCUCUUGCCUCACACACUGGAAACAUCAAUUGUCGUUCAAAGAUUCCAUACCUUUUCCUCGCAGGUACAUUUUAUUUUGACACUCGCUACUUCAUAAUUGACACGUGCCACUGCGCCGCCAACACAUCAGUUUUGGCCAAAUAUACAGGAACCCCACUUCCAAUUGAUAAAAUUAUCCCCAAUAGUGACAAAAUUGCAUACCACAAAAGGUUAUUUAACAGAAACACUUCAUAGUGGCAUGAAUUACUUGUACAUCAGAGGUUCCCAUAGCAUUUCCUGCUCCAAAAUUGACUCAAUCAAGGACCACCACUAUCCGUCGACCUUUCAGAAUCGACCCAGCCAAUGAAAAAUAGCCAACUCAAUAUUAGUGGCCCACCCUACCCAAAAAUUACACUAGGAGCACUGGUGGAUGCGGAAGACGUACUCUUUAGUUACAUACAGUCACUUGGAAACGUCAGGGGCACGCAUCUUUCGCCUAUAUACAAACCCCUAAACCCGUCUUCUCAUUUUCCUUCUUGCUGCUCUGUUUUGUGUUUACUCUCAGGUCGGUUUGACACUGGGAGAGCGCUAAAACCCUGAAACGAUGUCGUUUUCGCGUCCUCCUGGGUGUCGAUUUUACCCCUCCGACGAACAACUUCUCUGUUUCUACCUCACCAACAAGAAUAACACAAAUAGAGACGCCGACGACGUCAAUAGUAAUACGAACGGAUACGAUUUGAUAAAAGAGCUGGAUUUGUACGACUACGAGCCGUUUGAUUUACCGGAUAAUUCGUGCUAUGCAUAUGGUUGCGGGGGGAGAAAAAGACACUGGUAUUGUUAUGCGAAGCUUAGGGUUUUGAACGAGAGCAGAGGAGGGAGGAGCAGGAGGGCCAAGGGUGGGUAUUGGAGGAAGAGCGGUAGGGUUAGGGAUGUGGCGGGUCCUGGUGGGAAGGCCGUGAUAGGGAGGAGGACUAGAUUCGUUUUUUAUUUGGGGAAUUCAGUGAAAAGUGCAAUUAGGACGGAUUGGAUCCUGUAUGAGUACGCCUUAAUAGACCGGGGAAAGGUAUUUUAGGAUUAUUAUUGUUCUAGAAUUGAAUUUGGUUAUGGUUAUGAUGUACACUUAUUAACUAAUGUGAAUGCUAUUGCUAUCAUAAGCUUUAAGUAUUUUGGUUCUUCCUUCGUCUUAGGAAGGGGCUGUGUUUUUUUUUUUUUUCCUGGUAAUAAGGAAGUUUGUGAUCUUUGUGCCCGGAAUUUAUGCGUUAUCGGCAGAGUAUAUAUAUAUAUAUAUAUAUAUAUAUAUUUUUNNNNNNNNNNNNNNNNNNNNNNNNNNNNNNNNNNNNNNNNNNNNNNNNNNNNNNNNNNNNNNNNNNNNNNNNNNNNNNNNNNNNNNNNNNNNNNNNNNNNNNNNNNNNNNNNNNNNNNNNNNNNNNNNNNNNNNNNNNNNNNNNNNNNNNNNNNNNNNNNNNNNNNNNNNNNNNNNNNNNNNNNNNNNNNNNNNNNNNNNNNNNNNNNNNNNNNNNNNNNNNNNNNNNNNNNNNNNNNNNNNNNNNNNNNNNNNNNNNNNNNNNNNNNNNNNNNNNNNNNNNNNNNNNNNNNNNNNNNNNNNNNNNNNNNNNNNNNNNNNNNNNNNNNNNNNNNNNNNNNNNNNNNNNNNNNNGGAGGGGGGGGGGUGAAUGGGAAUCCUCCUUGUUUCUUAAUAGCUCGCAAGUGCUAUUCAUUUUAUCUUUGUUUUUGCAUAUAAUUGUUUAAUCACAUUACAUUGCUCUUAUUAGUUUCUGCCUACCGACUCAAGAUCAUUCUCUUAUGCAUAAUUGACUGGAUGCAAUUGGUGUUUAGUUAUCCAAACUUUCCUUUCUUCCAAUCAAUGAAGUCCAUUUACAUGUCUAAUGAACCAUCACUUUGGUUGCUAUGUAUUUCUGUUGUGAAACCUUAGUUUUUGUCAUGUGCAGGCAUCUUAUGUCCUUUGCCGAGUAUUUGUCAAGUCUCGUGGUGGAAAUAGCACUUCAGAGAAUAUGUUAAGUUCCUGUGCGGAAGAAUGUGUUUCUGCUGUACGUCAUGUUGGCAUUCAGCAUGAUGGAUUUCUGACACCUGACAUUGUUGAAGCUAAAGUGCUUAAUCACACCAUCGUUGAUAGGAAUAAUAUGUCUAGAUGUUCUUUUAGACCGAAUGCUGAGUUUGAUGAUGAAGCCAACGCUGGACGUGUUUCUGUUGCCAGUUCUCAAUUUCCUUCAGGCAACAAUUCCAAUAUUGAAUCUAAUAAGCUAGUAAGAUACUUCAAAAGUAUAUCCUGUCACUUAAUGUAUACUUUAUUAGUGGUUUUUCAUGUUUCUUUUAUUCUAUUUAUGCCAAUCAUUUCCAUCAAAACUCAUUUUACCUCAUCUGUGUGCUUCCUAAUCAUAUCCGGUCUUUUUUCAUCUGCAUUGUGCAUUACUAAUACAAUGAUGGAGAGGCACUGAUAAGCAAAGAACUAACUUUAUAUUGUUCGAUUUUCUAUCUAAGCAUGGUUCUUUUGCUUUGUUGUAACUUGCAAGAAUUUUUGAUCUGGAAAAUUGAUGAUCAAUUUUCUCAUAAAUCCCUUCUUUUUUUUGCACGAUAUGGGCUCUUUUUUUAUCUGAUGUAUAUGUUGCAAUUGGAAAACCUGAGUUUUAACCUUAUUGCUUUGUAUCUCCUCAUGUAGACCUGACUUUACUAGGUUUUUUCUAUAUCACUCCGUCCAUUUUCAUCUUUAAUGCCCUGUCUUACUGCAUAUAUUACUGCUUCAAGUGGAUGAUGUGCACAUGUGAAUGUCUCUUCUGUGAUCCCAUAUAAGGAAAUGUUGGAUGUCAUCUAGUAUCCAUGUCAUGUAAUUUUAUUUUAAUUUUUAAUAAAUCCUCGUUCUUUUCCUCUUUCAAACAACUUAUGUCUCUUUUGAUCUGAUACCCUGUGGCAGGUUAUGACACCUAGACUUCCUGGUGGUGAUAUGUUUCUAGAAGCUGAAACUGCUGAUCAAUUAGUAUCCAUUCUAAAGGGAGAUUUCAUAGAGCUGGAUGAUCUUGUGGAUUGAUCAUCCAAACAAGGUGGAAAUGAUAAUUUAUGAAAGAUAUAUGUCAUUAACCCUAAUGCGGUUCACUAUUUACUGAAACAAUUGAUUUGUGGACUUUAGAAGUAAUAGGAGCUUUUGAUGCCCAGCUAGAAGCUUAGAUUUUAGAAGGAGCAGAAUGAAUUUUAAUGUGCAGCUAAAAAUAGAAAAGGGCCUGAAAUCCAGUUUUGAACGAGAGAUUUAUAUUUUGAGGAACCUUAUGUAAAACAUUGUGCAAAGGAACAGAAGAUAUUAGUGUUGUGUGGAACGUUCAGCAGUUUAAUGAAGGACUCAUACUGUUAGUUAUGAUGUUUAGGGAGAUUUCAUAGCAGAAUUGCUUCGUCACUUGAGGUACACUAAUGACAAAGCUUUAAUUUAAUUUUUUAACUUCAAUCUCUUCAUGUCAUGACUAGCAUUUUGUCUUAUAUUUUAUAAUGUUAUGUGCAGAUUUCUCUUGUGCCCAUAACGGGCAUUUUUCCUCCAGCGGUAUUUGAACAAUAUUGGUAUAUCAGAUGGUAAAUUCAGAUUUAAGAAAAUCUCUGAGUACAGCUGUUUCAUCUGGCCUCAGCAUCUCACUGUUGUAACAUUGAUGGUGGGGGGUUCUUGUCUUUUCAUAUAAUGGGAAAAUUAUAUUUUCCCAUUGUUUCUCUAGUGCCUUCGUUUAACAGAGCAUCUUGUUCUUUAGUCAUCUGUUCUCACUUUCUGAAGUUGCAGGGAUAGAUGUCUUAAUUUGUUCCUCCUUACCUUGUCAGCAACUUUGCUUAGCUUGGGAGGACUAUCAUUGUUUAGCCUGCCAUCAACUGUAUUCUAUUUCUCAGUGUCUUACAGCAGACUUAGAUAACAUUAUCACAGAGUAAGCAGGGUAAACAAAUUCUUCUGCAAUUGUGUUUAUACUGCUUUCUUAUUUGUUGCAGAAUCUUGUCAAAAUGCUUAUAAAACCAGAAGUGAUGAUGGUAAAUGAGUAAUUCCAUGGACCUAAGUAUGUUACUUUAUUCUGUUAUUUUCAGCAGAUCUUACUCAUAAUAUAUAGCUCAUCGGCAAGUAUUUAGGAUGUUUAGCCUUUUAAUUUGUUAGUCUCUGCAGGUUCUAAUGUGUCUGAUUUUCUGACGAGACUAGAUUUGUACAAUAGUUUUAUAUUGGUUUUGCAUAUGUUGCUUUCUUUUUGGGACGGUAAUUUAGACCUUUCCUGGAUUUUUAAGAUUUCUGUUAGUGCCUUGAUUGCAAUUUUGUUGCAAAAAAAGGCUGAGAGUGGAGGAGAGUUUGGAGUACUAGUACAUGGUAUUUAUGGUCCUUUGGUUAAAUCUUGAUCCUCGGUGAAUUUAUGGAGCGCGUAUCAAUCAUGUUAAGAGGUGCUGCAAAUAGAAAUGGGUGGAACUUAGAAGCCUAUUUUAGAUUAGGUUACCUCGUAGCCUGUCCAUAUGUCUUUUUUAGUUAAAUAUAUUUUUUAUGUACUAUUAUAUUAUAAUUUAUCUCUCUCACUUUUAAAGUAUUAUUAUUUACUAUAAUCAAAAUUACAUUUUAGAUUAUAUAUGUUGAUCCAUUAGUAAAAUAUACUAUUUUUUAUUAAUUAGUUUUUGAAUAAUAGUUAUGUUCCGUGUUUAUUGGUUAUUAUAAAGAAUUCACUAUAUUAGUGUGUGUACAUUGUACACAAAAUAAAAGUAUUUAAAUUAAAAAUUCAUAUAUAAAUCCAUAAUUUAUAUUACUUUUUUUGAAAAAAAUUUUAUUGUCACCUAAACUGGUAAUUCAAUAUUCUUAAGUUACAUAUGAACAUUAAAUUUUAGUAAACAAAAACCUCUUUGAUUUAAAAUUUCAUACUGUUUCAAAAUUCAACUGCUAAAUAUGAUAAAACUUCAAUAAUUUUAAGAUGGUCCUUUAUGAAAAUAUUGAAUUUCGUAAUUAAAAUGCACUCUACGCGGUUCUUUUGGUGAGGGUAUUAAUUGUAGAUUGAGGAUUGACGAUUCCACAAGUUGACAAAUGAUACGUGGACUACACCUUACAUUAUUGUUGAAUCUAUUUUUAUUUUUGGCCCUCCCGUCUCAUGUUUAUAUUUAUAUUGAAGUUUACUUUUAUAGAGUAACAUUUGACUGCUGGGUUAUUAAAUAAAUAACACAAACUGAAGCUAACCUAUGGUAGAUGAAGUAGUUGAAACUUAGUUACAAUAACAGAAAGCUGAUCAAAGUGAAAUCUUGCAAGUGGUUCUUUUACAUCGUUGCUUUCUACCCUCUUUAACUUUAUUCCCAUUUCAUGAAGUUUUAAGCAAUGAGCUUCAUUUCUUUACUACAGAAAUAUUUUUUUUUUUUAUUCUUUUGCUGUAGGACAGUACAGGCACAGCUAUUAGGAAGUAUGUAUGAUAAUUGCUUCCCAUCUUUACAUACCUUAUGUCUGUAGCCAAUGACUUGGCUGCCUUAAGAUGGUUAUUAUUCUCCUACUACCAAUGUCUCAUCAUCCAUAUUUUGGUAGAAACACCACUCUCCCUAACCAUUUAAAAAAAAAUAAUAAUAAUAAUAGAACAAAGUCUCUCUCUUCACUCCUCUUUUGGCUUUAGAUUAAAAUUUUGGAGGAGUUGCCAUGUGCUCCAUCAUUACUGGAGGAUUCAAUCUCUCCCUCUGCAUCUCUUGUGGAUGAAAGUGGGUCAUUUCAACCUUUAUGUUGUUGCAGAUUUUUGCCUUUCCCUCAAGUAAAAAUCGAUUCAAUAACCCACACAGACACACCAACCUUUUCAAAAGGCUAUUAUGAAAAACACUGUACAGAGAGGGAGGGAUGAGAGUAAUUGCUUAAUUGCCAACAAUUAGGCCUUCCAAUUAGGAAAUAAAUUUUCUAAUCCAAAUUGGCCUACGGUGUUGGCAAGCAUAUUCUUUGGUGUAAAGUCAAAUGAAAUAGGCAAAAUAUAAAUUAGGAGUCCAAUGGUGGACCGUGUCAAAGCUUGGGAAUUUUACAUAUGAUUGAACCCACCACACAGACAAUAUUGGGGUUUGGCGCUUUGCUAAGAUGGUUAGGUUGGCAAAAAAACUUUCUUCCUUGCCAAAAGCGUGGGUUGUUUCUAAAUAUUCACUUGAGUGGAAGAAUAAUCAAUCUUAUCUUGUUUGAUUAGUAUUCUAAACACUAUCAAAUGUGUCAUUACGCAAUGGGUUAUGUUAAAGUAUUCCAUGUGGAGGGAGGGAGGGAGGGAUUGGAGUCCACUCUAAUUUUUAUCUAAUUCGAAGACUACCAAAUGCUUUUGAAAGAUGAAGAAAAAGGAAAAGAACUCAAAAUAGGGACCAAACGCUUGAGAAUAAGCGGCCCACGCCACCAUACAGAUACCCUAGGAAGUUGAGGCUGAACCUGCUUCUGCUUGCUAGAUAACUUAUUUACUUAGGUCUUUGUAUUCACACCUCUUUUAAGCAAAGUGCAAUUAGCUAUUUAGUUGUUGAGGUUUUUUCGAACAGAAUCACUAUCGUAUUUUUAUUUUUCCAUAAAAUUACGGAUUUAUUUUUCACUAUUUGUAUUUACUAUUUAGUCCCUUAUAGAAAAUGAUUCCAACAGAAUCUAUGAGCGAAUCCACCAAAUUAUAUGCCUGGAGGAUCAUAGGUUUGCUUCUUAAGGUUUUGAUUAAUUCAUUUACAGCCCGGAGUUAAAUGAUUUGAUUUGGGUUUUACCAUUUUUAACCAUAGAAAAAAAAAAAAAAGCCAAUAAUGACCAUUAAUAGAUAGUCAAAAGGGCAAUAGGAAGCAAUCAGAUUUUUAGGUGGAGAGGAAAAUCUAAGUCAUCUACAGUGGGUCCCAAAAUAUUAUAUCUAUGGCACGUGUGCAAAAUAUUAUUAAUUUUAAAUUUCUUUUUAAGUCACAACCCAAACGCUGCCCCUAUUCACACAUCAAAAAAACGACAGGGAGAAAGAGGGCAGCAACAGCAAAGGAAAGGGGUGAGGCAUGUGACGGUAAAAAGAGGUGCUUGGCGUGAAGAAGAUGGGAACAAAGAGCGGGUGGGGCUGCCUACGGCGCGCAUUGGGAGAAGGGUCUUUUCUUUAAUUAAUUAAUUUGUAUUCUCUAUUUUGUUGGCAUUAGAGAGAUAAACAGAGAAAGAGACAGGGAUUUGUAAUUAGAGAGAGAGAGAGAGAGGCAUUUUCAUUUUUUGUAAGGUAAGCGGCCCAAUAGAGGUACACCUUUUUAGCUUAGUUGUUGCUCUAUUUGUUGAUGAUGGAUGGAUAGAUGGAUGGGUGGAUGCGUUGGGGGCUGUAAGUUGUUGCUUGCUUUGCUACUUCUCUGUCAUUUUUAUUUUUGAUAUUUUUUCAAUUUUUAAUUCAAAUUCUUUGUUUGGAAACUGCUCUGUCUUAUGACCAUUUAACUCUCCUUUCUUUCUCUCUCUUUGGGUUAUUUCGUAAAUUAACGAUUACUGUCCUCUUUUAAUCUCUCUUUUCAUCUGUGUACAUUGUAUUCCCCAUCUCAUUUCUUCCUCUUCCUCCUGCAAGCCCCCCCUCUCUUUCUUCUCCUCAUUUUCUCUCCUUUCCAUUCCUCUCUAACUGGGGUUUUGUUUUCUUCUUCUCCUUUUUCUCUUUCUUUUCUCGAGAAAGAGGCAGAAAAUUUCAUCGGCAGGAAAGUUGAGAUUUUCUACCGUUUUUUUUGCUAAUUUUUUUAUUUUUUUGGCUGCAGAUUCUUAGAUCGAUCAGGCUUUUCUGUUUUUAUUUCUUAGGUAAGCUCCUUAGAUUUGAUUUUUAAUUUCUUUUGUUCGAUCGGCGGAUGAUGGGCCGUGCUGUGACCGUUCUCUUUCGUUUUUUGUUUUUGUUAAUGGUUCAUGUCAUGGGGGUUGUGAAUUUCUUUGGUUGUUUUUGGUUUAAUAUAUGAAGUAAUUUUUCCAAAAGGUAGAUUUUUUUUUUAAUUUGUUGAUUUUUCAUUUAAAAAAAGAAUUUUUUUAUGGUAUCUAACUAUAUUAAUAUUACUGGUUUUUUCGUUUUAUUAGCUGUUUAAUUUGUAAAAGUUUUUUUUUUUCUGUCACGAUACAAAUCGAUCUCGAAUUAGAUGUAGUUUCCUAGUUUGACCGUGUUUGUUUGUAGAUGGAUUUCUUUAGUGGUCUUUCUUUCCUUGGGUUGGAAUCGUAUUCCUAUUGGAUGUCUCUAUUUUCGUCGUUAUAAAACUUGAUUAUGGUUUUGAGUUGAAUGUUUCUUCUCUUUGAUGCCCUGUGAAGUUUUAACCGUCCCCAAUUCUUUCAAAGGAUUUUUUUUUUUUUUUUUUUGUUGUUUGUUGGUGUUUGAGGUUGUUUCUUUGGAGUUGUUAGUAUGCGUGCGUUUCUGAACCUAGCUUCUGCCAGUAAGUUGCUGGAAUGGUAAUGUAGCAAUAGGUUUCGAGCAUAUAGAGAUUUUUAUUCAUCAGCAAGGGCAACCUCUUGGCCUUUGUUAUUGAAGUUCAGUGUAUUGCUUGAGAUACAAGUGUAGGCUUUUCUUUGUUUAAAACUAAAGCCAACUUGCGUAGCACACCCUCCUGCGUCCAUUCUUUCUUUGUGGCGGUUGUCAACCUAGGAGAUAUAAAGGGUUUGGAGUUUCUGACAGAAAUUAUAAUGUGGUGUGUGGGGAUAUAUUUUAGGUUCUUUUAUGUUAUAUGGAGCAUUUUCAUAAUACUUAUAUUAAUUAUUUCCUUGCCACAAUUUGAUUUUCUGUGCCAGAUUUUGAAGAAAUUUAUAUUGCUCUUUGCGUUGGAAUAUUCUUCAGCUCUUGCAUACAGUUUAUAAUUUGCAUCGACAGCAGCCCUAAUGCAAGGGCAGAGGGGUAUUCUUGGCUCCUUGCCAGAAAUAUUGGACUUUGACCAUGGAUCAACAUCAGGUAAUGCGAUCCUAGAUCAGCAAAUUUGCUGGAAUAACAUGCAAAAUCCUGCAGAAAACCGAUCGGCAGACUUUUUGCUAUCACCGAGCCACAUGACCAAUGCAUUUGUCAAUUCCGUUGAACAUGAAAGACAAAAUUUGGGUGGAUGGAGUUUGGGUGAACCCAGCUCUAGUGGUACACAAAAUGAGGCAAAUCAUGAAGAACAGAAAUCAGAACAUGCUUGGUCAUCUUCGGCAAGUACUUGUGCUGGAGCUGGUUCAAGGUUAGAAGAAAGGCGAUAUGAACCAACCAAUAUUCUUUCGCUAGACAGUGUUAAUGUGAACCCUCAAUUUGUGCAGAGUUCCCAUUCCAAUGUGAUUCCACAGAAUCUCAACCUGAAUGCAGGUUAUAUGGGUCAUGGUAGUGAUAAUGGCCAAGUAAUGGAAAGCUCUAACAUGUUUAAAUCUGCUGGACCAGAAAAUGAGCGCAUUCCUCCUGCUAGUAGCUCUGAUGCUUUUCUGCAUUCUUCUGGAAGUAGCGGAUACAUGGUGGAAGAAAAUGAUGGCAGACCAGGUUGUUCAUUGGAUGGUCGUCGUCAAUCUUGCAAGAGAAAGGCUGUUGAGGGACAUAUUGGACAGUCCUCUGUGAGUGGAAGUUCUAGUUUCUUUCAGUGCUCAGAGAGUAGCGGGUGGCCUGGUGUUCCCACUCGCUAUGAUGCAGGCAGCAGUUUAAGUAUAUCUGCUCCAUCAGAACAAGUGAACCCCAGACUUGGACUAGGUCUGAGAGGACUAGCUUCUGAUAGUAUUCCUGACUCGGCAUUAGCAGGACGCCCAGAAACCUCCCAAAGAAAUUUUCGGUUGAGGAUAAAUCCUUCAAAUCAAGAAUCAAUUCCCCCUGCUUUAUUUUCUGCAGGGAAUGCUGGUAGACGUUCGAAUGCACUAUCUUCUCACCGCUCAUCAAGACUAAUUCCAAUUGAUCAUUCAUUGGACUUUAGGGCACCACCAACAGUAGAAAGUGCAACUUCGCAGAGCCAGCCUGUUGUUAUCCCUGUUCCAGCUUUACCGCAGAAUCUGCAGUCUUUUAGGUGGAAUGAAAGCUCUAGCUCCAGAACUAGCAAUUCAUCAAAUCCUAUUUCUUUAGCUGAUAGAGAGGAAGCCAGCUCAAGAGGCGGAAUGAGAAAUUUAUGGGAACAUCCAAUGUUUGUACCUGCAACCGAGUUGAGAACAUCGGUUAGAAAUCCAACAAACAGAAGUGUAACUAGUGCAAAUGCAAGCGUUCCUGGAAAUGUUGCAUCUACAUCUCGUGCUGGCUCAAGUUUGGGUGUCCAUCCUUUAUCAGCUUCGCCAUGGCUUUCUCAUCCAACUCCUUCUUCAAGAAAUUCUCGAAGAUUAGCUGAAUAUGUUCGUCGAUCAUUGUUUUCUUCUGCUGGUGCAGAUUCUGGGGGCCAGAGCAGUGCUAAUUCUCCAUUGCAUGCUGGUCCUCCUGGUUCCUCGGAGGAAACAAUAAUUCCUUCUGUUGUUGGUAACCAAGUUCAUCAUCGAUCAUAUCCAAGAUCAGCAUUAUGGACGGACAGACAGGGUGAUGGCGUGCUUGGAAUUCCCUAUCCUUUGCGAACUUUGGCUGCUGCCAGUGAAGGAGGAAGAAGCAGGCUUCUUGUAUCUGAGGUUUGUUCUUGAACUCUCUUUGUUGAGCUAUGAAUUUCUGAUAUUGAAAUGUGGAGUAGUUUCUUUUGCUAUAUGCAAAUUAAUCAGUCCUUACAUUAUGCCAAUUUGCAAUUAUGGCUUGCAUCACUAAAUAGCCAAUUGUAGCAAGACCUUUAAUUUUGUUGCAACUCACAGUUAAUGAUUGGGGUACAGUUGCCUAUUCCUGUAACCAUAACAGCAAAAGGACAUAAAGUUCAGUACUUUUUUGGGAUUUAACCCAUUAGUAUUUUAUGUUGUGAGGAUUUUUUUUUUUUUUUUUUUUUUUUUUUUUUUUUUUUUGAGACUGAUACUAAUUUAAUUGUAAUUGGCAAAUAUAUAUAUUUUUAUAUCAGUAUUGCUUCUAUAGAUUUAGCUGUAAUUAGUGAAAAGAAAUUAGAAAUACAACUAUAUUGAAGUUGCAAGAGAACAGAAAGGAAACAGCACGGCUAAGAUGUUGUGGGGAAAAGUAGAGUUGGAGCUUUUAGAAGCCCUAGAUAUUCUGAAGAAGUCACUAUAAUGAGAUGUAAUGGUUGAUUUCAGUUUAGGGUACUGCUUCAAUAGUUUUGAUCCUGAUUUUCUUCUAUAGUAAGAUAGGCUCUUGAUUUCGCACGACUGUUAAAUUGCAUGUGUUAUGCAUAAUUUCUGAUGCUUGAAAUCUUUUGUUUUCUAAAAUAGUGCCUGCAUGCAAAAUGUCUAUUAAUUGUAUAAUUAUUCAGUACACUCCGAUCUCUGCACAGCCUUUCAAUUGUGGCAAUUAAUUCUGUAAUUUAUAAUUGGGAGUCUGUCCAAAUUGUAGAAGUCUCUGUUGGCUUUUAAACUGUAUGUGAAGUGACUAGGUGGACAUACUUGGCUUAAUAAAAGUCAACUUAUUUGAUUUUCAAAUCAGUAGUAAUAUAUUGUGGACUCAUGUAGCAAAGGGGUAAAAACACCAUUUACUAAUUUAUAUAGCAAGUAGAGAUAAGAAGAAAAAUAGAACCAAGCUAAUAGUAAUGCCCUUCAAUUUAUUUGGAUGACAUUCAAAAAGACUUCCCUAAAAGCUCCAUAAGCAUAACCCAUAAUGGGAACACUGCCUUGUUCCACAACAAGCAAAUGGAUGGGCUCUUGUUUUUGAAGAUGCAUGUAUAUUCUUCCAUAAAAUAAAAUAAAAUAAAAAACAUUACUCCUUAUUAGGCUCACAAUUACUUAGCACAAAAUAUUACCAGCAGUAUUUGUUACUGUAAAAUUACCAAUAGCCUUAUUAAACUUGUAAGUCAUAUGGUCAACAAAAUGACUGCGAAUGGAAAGAGGACUAAGGAGAAUAUGUGAUUAGGGAACAUUAACAAUAAGAGUAGCAAGCAUAUCUAUAAGAGAUUUUGCUUUAGGUUAUACAUAUUUUAAUGAUGGUCUCUCUCUCUAAUUAUCUAUCUAUUAAUUUAUAUUAUGCCUGUUAUAAUUUUGAAAGUAGCAACAUUCACAUCCAUAAAAGCAUUCUUCUGGAACUUACAAUACUUUUUAUGUUUAUAUAGCAGAUUCGCAAUGUCUUGGAUCUGAUGCGUAGGGGUGAGAACUUGCGAUUUGAGGUUAGUUUAUUUUAUUCUGCCUUUUUUUUAAAAAAAAAAAAAAAAAAAAAGUACAUGUGUUAAAUGGUGAGAUUGGUGAAUAAAAUUCAUUUCUCACUCUAUUAUAAUUGAUGGUGGCUCCUUACUGUGGAAUUGAAUCAAAAGAUCCUGUAAACUGAUUUUUCAAAGCUUGAAUGAGUAAUUCAAUGGGUUUACAUUACUAUUUUAUUGUAAGUUUAUGGUGGUGGUGGUAAAUGAUGCCUGGUUUGGUCAGUGGUGGAAAUAAUGCAUGAGGCCUUUAAUAGUUCAAUUAAUAGUUUUUGGUUGAAGUGUCUGAAGUGUGACUUCUAAUUGUGCAUCAGGAUGUCAUGAUUCUUGACCAAUCGGUAUUUUUUGGAGUGGCUGAUAUUCAUGAUAGGCAUAGGGACAUGCGGCUUGAUGUUGAUAACAUGUCGUAUGAGGUAAGAAAUGCGGUUUGCUCAGCAUCUGAUUUUUUCUGCUCGUUUUUGUUUAUCAUUCUCAUAGUACAAUGAUUUUGUUUUGGGGAAACCAUAGGAGUUGUUGGCUUUGGAAGAGCGCAUUGGAAAUGUUAGUACUGGAUUGAGUGAAGAAACCAUCUUAAAUCGGCUAAGGCAGCGGAAAUAUUCUGUUGCAGCAGCAGAAACUGAGGUGGAGGCAGAACCAUGUUGCAUUUGUCAGGUAAUUAUAUUGUCUAGUGCAUUAUUCCUUCUAUGUCUCUGCAUUACUGCUCACACAAUUAUUUACUUGCAGGAGGAAUAUAAUAAUGGAGAUGAUGUAGGAACACUGGACUGUGGGCAUGAUUUUCACAGUGACUGUGUUAAACAAUGGUUGAUGCAUAAGAAUUGGUGCCCCAUUUGUAAAACAACAGGGCUCGCUACAUGAUAAGUUAUUUCGAUGUUAGGCAGUUAGAUUAUGCUCAGAAUGUGAAGAACGAAGGUUGGCACGAAAAUCUGUCGCAUGUUUCAGUUAUUGAAUCCAUUGUCUUGGCGAGGUACUGCCUUUGCAUCACCUCUCAGUUCAUCCUUUGAGACUAGUCUAUAGCAUGACUCAUCAGAGGAAGGAAUUUUCUUUGUUUUUUUUCAAAGAAAGAGACAAAAUCCAAGUCGAUGCUGCAACUGUCUAAAGAGUGCAAAACUGGUUUUCAAAAUUUUAAUUUGUUAUUGAACAAUUAGUUUAUUGGAUAUUCAUUGUGCCCCUUUUUUCUUCUGUCCUUUUUCCCGUCUCUCUUUUUUUUUUUUUUUUUUGUUCAUUUAGGUAACAAUGCCUGUUUAAAUUUGGAGUUGCGACAUUUUGGGGGAGCCUAAUGGCAGGUCAAGCUAGUAACUCCUUUUUAUUAUUAUUAUUAUUAUUUCCUAAUGUAACCGAGCAUAAUUGUUCAAAAAAAAAAAAAAAAAACUCUGAAUUCUAUCCAGGUGUUAAAUUAGCAUUGAAGGAUAUUAUGUUUUAUCUCAUUUUGUGGAAAUUAAUUGGUAACAUUUCUUGAGCAAGUUUCUCUGGAAGAUAUGAAUUGGAAAUUGGGUUUAGAGGAACUGCUUAAGAAGUAUAAUGAGCUGAGUUUGAUAUUCUAUUUAACAACAAUAACGCUCUUAUGUUUUCGGCCAAGCCCAUGCAAAGGAUACAUUUCUUGGAAAAAGCAAAAGCAUGUGCAUCUACCAGCCAAAAAAAGAUUGUUCGAUCUGAUAAUUUAGUUUCUGCUAGUUCCUAAUUCUAUAUUUGAGGAGUGAACAGACCAGGUUUUGGAGCCUCUAUUCUUUGCCAGUCUGUAGUGGGGGAUAGCCGAUGGGGUUAGGUGUUGGUUAAGCGGAGGAGGGGAGGAUAAAUGUUAGCUAACACGCCACCAAAAAGUGACAUCGGGAAUUGUAUCUUUUUUGGGUCAAUGCUCCUCUCGUCUCCUCUCAGCUCAGGCUAAGGUGACGUUUUUGUUUGGGAUAAGACUGUGAAAGUUGUGAGAUGUCUCUUUGACUUUUAACUUCACUAAUUUAUUAAGGACCAUAUUCUAUUUAUAUGCUUUCCCUAACAAGUUCAAAUUUUCAAUCACGUCCCUCAAUAUUUUUGCAUCCCCGUCCCUCCAUUCCUAAAUUUAAAGUUUGAACCACCAUAAUAUCAGAUUAGAAAUAAAUGGUAAAAUGGGAAAAAUUGUAAAUUACAUGGUUUUUUAUAUGUUUUUUUCUAUUAACGAAAUGAUAGAUUUUACUUAAAUCCAUACAUUAUAUAAAAUCCGUCAUUUUCAAUAUCCUUAAUCCAAAUAUGCCCUUUUUGUAUUUGAACUUGGGGAAAAAAUUGGAUCGCAUUGACAAGGGUUUCAUAGAAAAUAAAUGUUGAAGUAUGGGGCAGGUUUAAGAAUAAAAUAAAUAAUAGGGUGUAAACGAAAUUAUGGCAAAAAAUAGGGACUCCUAACUAAAAGCAACACCAAUUAAAAUACUUUAAUUAAGGCGGGAGAUUAAUCAAAUUUGAUUAUGAGCCUUUUUUUGUAUCAAAAAGCUUCAUUAGCCCAGAAACCCUUCCCCAAGAGAGCAAAAGCCAACAGACAAAGAGAGCACAGAAAAAGAGAGCUCAAACAGGCAGAGGCACUGACGGUUUUUGCAUAGAAACGAGACGCUAACAAGAAUCUGACGUUGCUCAAUUGCUUUUGCCUUCUCCAUUUACUUACUUAGAUUUAUUAUCCAUGGCCGAUCUGUACGGAACUGCUACCUCUCCGGCUCCGGAGCCUGAAGAAAUCUCAUCCUUCCUUCACCAUCUACUCCACAAUUCCUCUUCAUCUUCUUCUUCUAAAUUCAUGCAGAAUGCUCUCUCUUCUCCACCUCCCGCGCUGCCGCCGCAGGCCGAUUCUUCACCAGCAACUGAAUUGUUGUUUGGCCGGUCGCAAUCAGGGUGUCUAGCCGAUGGCCGGAGCUCCUGCGUUAAUUUCUCCGAUCCCGGUGGUUAUUUCGCAAAAGAGAGUACGGAAAAUGCUGUCUCUUCGGUUAUGUCAAAGAGGAGGGGAGUCUCCGUGGAGAAUGAUCUGGGUGACUUAAGCUGUGAUAGCGAGGUAAUCGUUGAUUGACAUUUGAAGAAUCUGUAUUGAUUUCUCUGUAUUUUUUUUUCUUUCUCAAAAUAAGCUUUUUUGCUAAGUAAUGGAACUUAAAUGUGAGAUUUAUCAACUGCGAUUGCUAAUCGUUUGGAAUUUUGGAGAUGAUGUGUUCCCUUACACUUUUUAGAAGGGUGCAGAGGUUUCAGACAUGCCGUCAGAAACAGCGCGGCCUCGAACUUCCUCCAAGAGGAGCAGAGCUGCAGAGGUUCAUAAUUUAUCUGAAAAGGUUAGCUCUUAGGACUCUAAUUAUGCCCAAUUAUCUGCGUUUGUGUGUUUUUAAUGUAAAAUUUGAUUCAUGGGCUUGCUUGGAAAUGGCUGAAUUGUUCAUAGAGGAGGAGGAGUAGGAUUAAUGAGAAAAUGAAGGCCUUACAGAAUCUUAUUCCAAAUUCUAAUAAGGUAUUCCUCAACAACUUCUCAAACCUGUGAACUUGAAAUAGCGCAUUUCAAAUAAAUGAUUUGAUAUAUAUUUUUUUUUUUUUCAUUUUGUGAAGACUGAUAAGGCAUCCAUGCUGGAUGAGGCGAUUGAAUACUUAAAGCAGCUUCAGCUGCAAGUACAGGUCAGUUUUCUUCUUAACUCUAUCCUUGUUUGAAAUCUGUAGUUUAGCCUGAAUUAAGAGCAACUUCUUCUGUAUCUUGUGAUUCUCUAUCCAUCGUUUUUUACACUGAUGAGAUCUUCAGCAAAAAGAAUAGGGGACUAUUGUCUCAUAUUGCAAUUUAUAUUGUUACAAGGAUUGAAGAUCAUUACCAAGAUAGCAAUGCUGGCAGCCAAUGCUGAAUGAAAUCUGGUAGCUAUUUCUUGAUGUAAAAUAUUGAUUCAUAAUGUUUCUAGAUUAACCUCUCAUGACUAAUACUUGGGCAGACAACAAUUGUGUGAUGGUGUAACUGGCCGAUGUAGUUAUUAGGAUUAAAUCUUUUCAUAGCUCGGAUAAUUUAGUUCUUCUCCUAAAUUCUUGACAGUGAAGAGUAAAAACAUAUAAUUAAUUAGGUUAUUCAGUGCUGAAGUUGAUCAUGGGUCUUCUGAAAUUGACAUGAGAAAAAAAGUGAACUUUAUUUGUGAAGUAGAAAGCAAUGACCUGUUAUGUUGGUUGACUAAUUUAAACUUGAAAAACAAUAACGAAGUUAUGUUGAGUAUGUAAAUCCGUUUUCACUUUUUAGUUUGGCAUGGUGAUGGCAAUUGGUUAGAUAGUAUGAAAAAACACCGCAUGAUUCAUGCCUAGGUCUUUCGCACUACCACAUAUUUGCAAAAAUCGUUAUGGCACAUUCUGUAACUAUAUUUAGAGCUAAUGCAUCAUAUAACAAUCAGUUUAAGCCUAUGUGGCUGUAUUUGUUUAAGCUAUCAUAUAGCUAUAGAAUUAUUAUGGAUGUAUUUGUUUAGAACUAACGAGGAAGGACAUAUAACAAUUAGGAAGAAAAAAUUAAGAAAAUGACGGUAAGUUAUCAUUACUUGAAUAUGUUCGUUAGACUAUUCGGCAUUUGUGGUUACAUGCAUGAAAUAUGUAAAUUUACA
rnacentral:lncRNA from 1 species